rnacentral:rRNA from 1 species
GCACAAGCAGUGGAGUAUGUGGUUUAAUUCGAAGCAACGCGAAGAACCUUACCAGGUCUUGACAUCCAACUAACGAAGUAGAGAUACAUUAGGUGCCCUUCGGGGAAAGUUGAGACAGGUGGUGCAUGGUUGUCGUCAGCUCGUGUCGUGAGAUGUUGGGUUAAGUCCCGCAACGAGCGCAACCCUUGCUAUUAGUUGCUACGCAAGAGCACUCUAAUAGGACUGCCG